UCAAGAAGUCCAGCAGCCACCAAGCGAACUGGCAUGGCUAGCAGUGGCCUCUGCAGCUGACAUAACGUCGAAAGUUCGGUCUUCGGACCUGUCCAUCGUGUCACAUCGUUUGUGACUUCUGUGGCUAUCCGUACACCGACCGACCUGCAGUGCAGACUGGAUAUGAGUGCGUUUGCAUACCAUGCCUUCGUUAUUAUUAUCAUUUUUUUGCAAACUGUCACCAACAUCGAAACGGACACAAAGCUGGCGAGCGACAGAAUAUGGACAAGUGCAAGACGUACUAUUCUCACGCUAUCUAUUAGCCGACUGCGGCGUGCAGACCCUCAUCCGGAGUCAUUGCUGUUCGUUCAGGAGUCACUCAGUGGCACGGCAGAGAAAGCCACGAGCGAUGCGGAUGGCGUAGCAAGUAAAUCUGCUGAAUGAGGCAGUAAGAAACCCCAUCCAGCAAUUAAGCCAAAGCCAGUGGUGGCUGGUUCUCGUCCUGCACACCUACGACAGCAAAUAUCCAAACUUGGAGAAGAGGUAGUGGAACCACCGUCGUCUUUUGAAAAGGACCCAAUACCAGGGUCAAUGGUACAUACUCUACUUCGUCUAGCACCCGGUUCGACAGGAAGACGCUUGCCAACUCGGCGUAGCACGGCUGCCAAGUCAGACUCUCUCUUUGUCAUGUAAUGUAUCAGAGAGGUUGAAACACUGAAACUGUCAAGUUGGAGGAGCUUUGAGAACUGCAAUAGAGUAUACCGAAAUUAUCAGUUCUCUUCAACGUCACGAGUCUAUCAAAAGUUGUCGCCUUUGGCAUUUGCUUUUUACCUACUAGUAUGUACCAGCCUACAAGUACUUGCAAGCAGUAGUAGCGAUGGCUAUGUAGACCGAGUCAGCGGUCAGCGGUUGGUGUUCGCUAUUCAGGACUUGGCUGCGGAAAAAGAUUUGGUUGGAAGGAGCUACUGGUAGCUAAAAAUGACAUGCAAGCGAAGCGUCAGCAUGUCGUGAACAAAGGUACGAUAGUCGCUAGACCGGCUAUGUAAAGUUAGCAGUUAUGUCCUGUACUACAACUAAGUAUAGCAACGAAGUCAAGACGCUUGCAACGAGCUUGAAACGGCAACGUCGUUACACGUAGCAGGUCAACACAGUAUGUCUUUGGAAGACGGAGUUCAACUUGGGUCAAGAAGUCCAGCAGCCACCAAGCGAACUGGCAUGGCUAGCAGUGGCCUCUGACAUAACGUCGAAAGUUCGGUCUUCGGACCUGUCCAUCGUGUCACAUCAUUUGUGACUUCUGUGGCUAUCCGUACACCGACCGACCUGCAGUGCAGACUGGAUAUGAGUGCGUUUGCAUACCAUGCCUUCGUUAUUAUUAUCAUUUUUUUGUAAACUGUCACCAAUAUCGACACGGACACAAAGCUGGCGAGCGACAGAAUAUGGACAAGUGCAAGACGUACUAUUCUCACGCUAUCUAUUAGCCGACUGCGGCGUGCAGACCCUCAUCCGGAGUCAUUGCUGUUCGUUUAGGAGUCACUCAGUGGCACGGCAGAGAAAGCCACGAGCGAUGCGGAUGGCGUAGCAAAUCUGCUGAAGGAGGCAGUAAGAAACCCCGUCCAGCCGUUAAGCCAAAGCCAGUGGCUGGUUCUCGUCCUGCACACCUACGACAGCAAAUAUCCAAACCUGAAGAAGAGGUAGUGGAACCACCGUCGUCUUUUGAAAAGGACCCAAUACCAGGAUCAAUGGUACAUACUCUACUUCGUCGAGCACCCGGUUCGACAGGAAGACGCUUGCCAACUCGGCGUAGCACGGCUGCCAAGUCAGACUCUCUCUUUGUCAUGUAAUGUAUCAGAGAGGCUGGAACACUGAAACUGUCAAGUUGGAGGAGCUUUGAGAACUGCAAUAGAGUAUACCGAAAUUAUCAGUAAGUUGGUGAAAUCAAGGACUAGCUGUGCACUACACUGGUCUGGCAUGGUGCUGUUGCUGCUACAGUGUAGUAGUGGUGUACUGCGCUGCACUGGUUAGGCUAACGAGGUGAUCCUGCUAGUUGUGUAUUGCACUGCGCUGGUUAGGCUAACGUGGAGAUCCUGCUCAAGACCGGGGCGCUCUUGCUAGCCUCCAUGUUGCUGUUGUUCCCGGUCUUGGAAUCAGCUAACAGUUAUCAGCUAUGCGUGGUACUUGUGUGUCAUAUCUACUAGAUGUUCUGAUUUUGGCAAGUGAUUCUUUCCCCGCCCCCGCAGCCUAUUUGCUUUCAGAAUAUUAUUAAUUCUUACAAAAUAAAACUGUUGUGCCGUAGGUAGUAUGUGCUGCAGCAGUACGUCUAUUAUUACGAUUUGGAAAGUCUUGAAUUAUCGUUUCAUAGCCCCAUUCCUGAAGAUCGUUGAAUGACAUUGUGGAAUUACUCCCCUCUUUUAAUCAAUUUCCUUCUCAGAGUGACUCUGAUUCCUGCAUUUUGGUGAAUGGUGUGCAUAUCAAUAUUGUGCUGUUUGCAUAGUGCACAGUUAUUCCAUCACACCCUACAUGAUAGAUGUAUGGACUGGCAAUAGCCGUAGCAGCGUGCACUAAUGUGCCUGCUGCUGCACCCUAGCAUCCUGCACACUGUGGUAGCACUCAAGACCGUGAAUGUCAUUCUGCUAUUAAUAAACCAGUAUGUACACGCACGUGGAAAUGACAUCGUGCUGUUGAUCCACCGUUGUCUUUGUCAUAUUCCAGUGGUAUGCAGCUGCACUCAUUCUUUCACUUACUUCUCAUUGUUAUGUAGACCGCCCUUUCCCUAGUUAUGCUUUUAUCUCCUUUCAAGUCAAUCAUUAUAAUAAUUCUGUAUGGCUACUUUUUUACACCGUUGAUGCAGAUCAUGAUUUUGAAUUCAGUGACAUUUCAGUCUCUUGAAUACUCGUAU